GCGAAGCGGGAAGAGCUCAAAUUUAUAAUCUGGCACCUUCGGUGUCCGAGUUGUAAUCUCUAGAAAUGUUUUCCGCGUUGGACCGCACACAAGUCUGUUGGAAUACAGCGGCAUAGUGGUGAGACCCCCGUAUAUGGUGCGGACGCCCAGCGCUUUGUGAUACAUUUUCGAAGAGUCGAGUUGUUUGGGAAUGCAGCUCAAAUUGGGUGGUAAAUUCCAUCUAAAGCUAAAUAUUGGCGAGAGACCGAUAGCGAACAAGUACCGUGAGGGAAAGAUGAAAAGCACUUUGGAAAGAGAGUUAACAGUACGUGAAAUUGUUGGAAGGGAAACGCUUGAAGUCAGACUUGCUUGCCGAGCAAUCGGUUUGCAGGCCAGCAUCAGUUUUCCGGGAUGGAUAAUGGUAGAGAGAAGGUAGCAGUUUCGGCUGUGUUAUAGCUCUCUGCUGGAUACAUCUUGGGGGACUGAGGAACGCAGUGUGCCUUUUGGCGGGGGUUUCGACCUCUUCACACUUAGGAUGCUGGUGGAAUGGCUUUAAACGACCCGUCUUGA
rnacentral:rRNA from 1 species